CAGCCGCCGCGGUAAUACGGAGGGUGCAAGCGUUAAUCGGAAUUACUGGGCGUAAAGCGUGCGUAGGUGGUGGUUUAAGUCCGUUGUGAAAGCCCUGGGCUCAACCUGGGAAUUGCAGUGGAUACUGGGUCACUAGAGUGUGGUAGAGGAUAGUGGAAUUUCCGGUGUAGCAGUGAAAUGCGUAGAGAUCGGAAGGAACAUCUGUGGCGAAGGCGACUAUCUGGGCCAACACUGACACUGAGGCACGAAAGCGUGGGGAGCAAACAGGAUUAGAUACCCGAGUAGUCCCUGUCUCUUAUAC
rnacentral:rRNA from 1 species